UGGUUUGGAAUCUGGGUAGGAGAUGGCGGCCCGGACGGGCCUGCCCGGCUCACCUCUCCAUCACGCUGGUUUAAACCUCAUUACUCCCUGCUCACCCAGCCGCCAGGCCUCUCUCCCGCUCCAUGAAGACCUGAGGGUCGUAGGUCUUCCUGGGCCUACUCCUUACUGAGAAUUGAAUGGCGCCAUUCUUAGUCUUCUUACUUACUUUGUAGGAACCCAGCCGCUAUGGGGUCGGUGGCCCUCUGGGGCUUGAAUACCCGAAUGGCCCUGGUGGACAGAUGGUGAACCUGAGCUUGGACACCCCCUCCCCUUUCCCCACUCUGAGCCCUUAUCUGACAUCUAGACUGUGCUGCCCAUUACUGUUGCCACCAGGCCCAGGUGGCAACUGAGCCCCUGAAACGUGGGGGGUCCGAAUUGAGGUGCGCUGGAAGUGCCAAGUACUGUGGAUUUCCAAGGCUUAGAACAAAACAACCCGCAGCAAUACUGAUUUUUUGUAUGUUGAUUAUAUGUUGACAUGAUACUAUUUGGUCAUAUUGCCUUAAAUGAAAUAUAUUAUUAAAGG